UGGGGAAUUUUGGACAAUGGGGGCAACCCUGAUCCAGCCAUUCCGCGUGAGUGAAGAAGGCCUUCGGGUUGUAAAGCUCUUUUGUCCGGGAAGAAACGGUUUUGGUUAAUACCCAAGACUACUGACGGUACCGGAAGAAUAAGGACCGGCUAACUACGUGCCAGCAGCCGCGGUAAUACGUAGGGUCCAAGCGUUAAUCGGAAUUACUGGGCGUAAAGCGUGCGCAGGCGGUUGUGUAAGCCAGAUGUGAAAUCCCCGGGCUUAACCUGGGAAUGGCAUUUGGGACUGCACGGCUAGAGUACGGCAGAGGGGACUAGAAUUCCUGGUGUAGCAGUGAAAUGCGUAGAUAUCAGGAGGAAUACCGAUGGCGAAGGCAGGUCCCUGGGCUGAUACUGACGCUCAUGCACGAAAGCGUGGGGAGCAAACA
rnacentral:rRNA from 1 species